rnacentral:rRNA from 1 species
UGGGGAAUAUUGCACAAUGGGCGCAAGCCUGAUGCAGCCAUGCCGCGUGUGUGAAGAAGGCCUUCGGGUUGUAAAGCACUUUCAGCGGGGAGGAAGGCGAUAAGGUUAAUAACCUUGUCGAUUGACGUUACCCGCAGAAGAAGCACCGGCUAACUCCGUGCCAGCAGCCGCGGUAAUACGGAGGGUGCAAGCGUUAAUCGGAAUUACUGGGCGUAAAGCGCACGCAGGCGGUCUGUCAAGUCGGAUGUGAAAUCCCCGGGCUCAACCUGGGAACUGCAUUCGAAACUGGCAGGCUAGAGUCUUGUAGAGGGGGGUAGAAUUCCAGGUGUAGCGGUGAAAUGCGUAGAGAUCUGGAGGAAUACCGGUGGCGAAGGCGGCCCCCUGGACAAAGACUGACGCUCAAGUGCGAAAGCGUGGGGAGCAAACAGG